GAGCUGUGAUAUUAAAUUGCACUGCUGUGAACGAUGGGUCGUCACACUCAUCUGAUUAUUCAGAUGUUAAAAUUGUGCAUCUGAGCUC